rnacentral:misc_RNA from 1 species
UGGGCUCGAAAUGUAGAGGACUAGGCAAGAGAUUGUCUAUCCCGAAAGGGUCUCUAUAUAGGUGCUGCAUGGCUGUCGUCAGCUCGUGCCGUGAGGUGUUUGGUUAAGUCCAGCAACGAGCGCAACCCUUAUCGUUAGUUGCCAGCGCGUAAUGGCGGGAACUCUAACGAGACUGCCUAGGUUAACUAGGAGGAAGGUGGGGAUGACGUCUCUAGGAGGGUG